AGUGCGGAAUAUUGUGCAAUGGGCGAAAGCCUGACGCAGCGACGCCGCGUGAGGGAUGAAGGUCUUCGGAUCGUUAACCUCUGUCAGAGGGGAAGAAGUGUGUCUAUUCAAAUAGGGUAGGCAUUAGACGGUACCCUCAAAGGAAGCACCGGCUAACUCCGUGCCAGCAGCCGCGGUAAUACGGAGGGUGCGAGCAUUAAUCGUAAUUACUGGGCGUAAAGCGCACGUAGGUGGUUUUAUAAGUCAGGGGUAAAAUCCCACCGCUCAACGGAGGAACAGCUUUUGAUACUGCAUCACUAGAGUAUCGGAGAGGGUGGCGGAAUUCCAGGUGUAGGAGUGAAAUCCGUAGAUAUCUGGAGGAACACCGGUGGAGAAGGCGGCCACCUGGUCGAAAACUGACACUGAGGUGCGAAAGCAGGGGGAGCAAACAGGAUUAGAUACCCUGGUAGUCCAUGCUGUAAACGAUCGAAAGUAGGUGCUGGGGAGAUAAAUUUUCAGUGCCGUAGUUAACGCGUUAAGCACCCCGCCUGGGGAGUGCGGUCGCAAGGCUGAAAGUCAAAGAAAAUAGACGGGGGCCCGCACAAGCGGUGGAGUAUGUGGUUUAAUUUGAUGCAACGCGAAGAACCUUACCCAGGCUUGACAUCCAGGGGACCUCUAGGAAAUUAGAGGGUGCCCUUCGGGGAGCCCUGAGACAGGUGCUGCAUGGCUGUCGUCAGCUCGUGCCGUGAGGUGUUGGGUUAAGUCCCGCAACGAGCGCAACCCUUAUCUUUAGUUGCCAGCGAGUAAAGUUGGGCACUCUAGAGAGACUGCCCCGGUUAACGGGGAGGAAGGUGGGGAGGAGGUCAAGUCAUCAUGGCCCUUACGCCUGGGGCUACACACGUACUACAAUGGUGCGCACAAAGGGAAGCAAGACCGUGAGGUGGAGCCAAUACCUAAAAACGCAUUUCAGUCCGGAUUGGAGUCUGCAACUCGGUUCCAUGAAGUGGGAAUCGCUAGUAAUUAGAGAUCAGCAUGCUCGGGUGAAUGCGUUCCCGGGCCUUGUACACACCGCCCGUCACACCACGAAAGUUGGUUUUACCCGAAGCCGGCGAGCUAACGAGCAAUCGAGGCAGUCGUCUACGGUAGGUCCGAUGAUUGGGG
rnacentral:rRNA from 1 species